UCGAAUUUUUAGCCAGCAUACGCUGCUUACGUCAUCUUUUAUGCAUAUCUAAAUACAAAUCAGCAAACAAACACGCCUAUUUUUAAAAUAUCUGAUUACGUUCAUAUUGAAAACAAAUCCAUCACUGAUUAUUUUUCUUCUGAAAAUUAGAUCGAUAAAGCAUUGCAUAGUUGUAAUGAUUUUUACAUCAACUCAACUAGAAAUGUAAUCGAUAUUUGCUCCCUAAAUCGGUCGAUAGUCGAUUUAAUGGUGACACCCAUUUUUUGUGCACCCAACGCAAUUUCAGCCCUGUUUUGCUUUCGGUGGAGAGUACUUUAUAUCCUUUUCUGUUUUCCACUGGGUAUGAAUGAUGUUAAAUAUAACGUAGUUAUAUAGUUACCAUAUGCGCUUAGAGCUACUACCAUAUUUUUCCAUUUCAGUUCCCGCAUAAAGCGAAAGCACCAUUGGCGAUUUUAUCUCCGUUAUUGUUUAGUAGCAGCUGUUUCAAUAAUGGCCCAAUUCAUCUACAAAAGACUUUACAUAUUUACUUUUGGCAACGCAAAAUGGGGUUACAGUUCGGCCGUUGUUAGUUUUAGUGGCUUUUAACUAAUCUCAAUUGCUUUGUGCCGUGAUUACACUUCCCGUAUUCUAGUCGUUGCUUCUGUUAUUACCAUUAAAGUACUUAUUUUUACCUAACCUGUAAUUUUGUUUCUCUGUUGAACUUUUAUAAUUUAGUGAAACCUUUGCUAAUUAAAAAAAACGAGUUUUCUGAAGCCUUUGUUUCCGCAAUGAAAUUUCACAAAACUAAAUAUUAAAAAAUUACUCUUGAAACUAAUACUUUUUCGUUUCCAAAUUUAAGUUUACUUCCAAAUAUCGAGUUUCCAUUAUCUCAACAAAAUUCAAUCAUGUUCCAAAAGUCAGAAACUAUAGCGCGCAAUCAGUCUUUUAUGACAGAUUUUUCCAAAAUCGAUUCCUUGGCAGUUAGUGAGCUGACUUUCGCCAGUCAAGUUCUGAUAUUCAUUGUCUCCGAAGCUGACCAAUCAGGUUCAUUGACCAAUCACAUUUGCGGAGCUCUUCACGCCGAUUUGUCAACGACUAAAACAUGUGUUCGGAAUUUCAGAAGAAAGUUCGAAUCUUACGCAAUAUCGCGCCACAUAAUCAAGACCUCAAGAAACCGAAACUUUCUUGGACUAAGACGUUGUUUUUCUCUAAACGACCAGCGAAGUCUGCGAAAAUCGCUAGACUCCCGAUCCAAUGGCCCCGGUUCGAUUCCAAGCAGUAACCACAUAAACUCAGGAAUUAGCAGCACCUUGCCAAGAGCGAAGCAGAAGAAAUCACCGUCUUCAAAAGUUUCUCUUCAAAAUUGCCCUACUUUAACUAAUUCGGGGGAAGUUUGUUCGAAAAUAGAAGAAGGAUUUAGUCGGCCAAUUUUCACGAGAGCCAUGUCGUCGGAACGAGUUCAAGUUCGUAAAUCUUCCAUAAAUGGUCAUUUUCUGCAAUCGUUAUCGGAUAUUCACAAUCGAAGCUUAACCGCAACGCCGACCCAAUUGAGGAAAUCCAAUUUACGAAAUUUCAGAAUAAACAAUACAACUGGUAUUAACUCCAUUUUGCCGAAUUCAAAAAACGAGUCGAGGGCAAAACUGGCCAUUCGUGAAUCGCCGAAAGGAGACGGCGUAACACGGUCACUCUCGCUACAGCGGAAGAAGUUUGUUCCGAACAGUUUACACGUGGAGGUGUUGUCGUCUCGGAUCCGACAGACGUCGGAGUGUAGCGGGGUUACCGACGGCGACUCGGGUGUGGUGUCCGACACGAAUAGCAUCUCAGAAACCACGCAAAACGCUGCAACGUCGUUAAAUAACAAUUCGCAUAUCAAGUCGAAUCAGGGCAGUGAUGCGACUUUAACCCCAAAUGAUACAUUAAACACAGUUGACUUAGAUAACAACCACACUUCAGAACAAAAAAUAUCGGAAUUCAAACUUGACAAUUUACGAGCUAUUUUGUUCCACAAAGACGGAAUAAUUUUUGACUGUUUCGCAGAACUGCUUCGAGAUUUGCCUGACAUUGAAAUUCACCAUUUUCCCUUGAUCGAAGGCAAGAAAACUCGCAUACUAGUUAGAAGCAAUUGCAGCAUAGACUUUGAAAUAAUUCCAAAUAAAGAUCAUUUAUAAUUCAAUUUCGAAAUUAUGUAAUUAUGUGUUAAUGUUAGUUAAAUUUUCUGUCUUUUCUUCA